CGUUUUGAGGCUGUCAUUUUGAGUAUAAGGGAGCCGAAGACAAAAGCCCUAGUAUUUGCUUCUGGAAAGUUGAUUUGCACCGGAGCUAAGAGUGAGAAGAACUCAAAACUAGCUGCUCGUAAGUAUGCUCGAAUCAUUCAGAAGCUGGGAUUUCCUGC